ACGAACGCUGGCGGCAGGCCUAACCCAUGCAAGUCGAGCGCCCCGCAAGGGGAGCGGCGGACGGGUGAGUAACGCGUGGGAAUAUGCCCUUUGCUACGGAAUAGUCUCGGGAAACUGGGGGUAAUACCGUAUACGCCCUUUGGGGAAAAGAUUUAUCGGCGAAGGAUUAGCCCGCGUUGGAUUAGGUAGUUGGUGGGGUAAUGGCCUACCAAGCCGACGAUCCAUAGCUGGUUUGAGAGGAUGAUCAGCCACACUGGGACUGAGACACGGCCCAGACUCCUACGGGAGGCAGCAGUGGGGAAUCUUAGACAAUGGGGGCAACCCUGAUCUAGCCAUGCCGCGUGAGUGAUGGAGGCCUUAGGGUUGUAAAGCUCUUUCAGCUGGGAAGAUAAUGACGGUACCAGCAGAAGAAGCCCCGGCUAACUCCGUG
rnacentral:rRNA from 1 species